UACAGAGGUCCCAAGCGUUGUUCGGAUUCACUGGGCGUAAAGGGUGCGUAGGCGGUCGGGUAAGUCUGAUGUGAAAUCUCACAGCUUAACUGUGAAACUGCAUUGGAUACUAUCCGGCUCGAGGAAUGGAGGGGAGACUGGAAUACUUGGUGUAGCAGUGAAAUGCGUAGAUAUCAAGUGGAACACCAGUGGCGAAGGCGAGUCUCUGGACAUUUCCUGACGCUGAGGCACGAAAGCCAGGGGGAGCAAACGGG
rnacentral:rRNA from 1 species